UCGGCACAACUUUUGGAAGGUGGCUCCUUUGGUGAAAUCCAUGUGUGCUAAACAUGGUAUUGAAUAUCAGUCAAAACCUCUCUUCACUGGCUUUGCUGACAUUGUGCAUUCCUUGAAGGUUGCGGGUGAAAUCUGGUUCAAAGCUAUCAUCUUGAACAGAAAACACAAACUCCUAAAAUCUGCCUUCAACAAGGAAAGAAGGAUGAAGAGACAAGAUAGAUCUGAGAUGGAUCUUGAGAGGCUCCAGGCAUAGAAAACCUAGAGUAAUUUGUGAAUGAAACAGAAUGCUGGAGAGCCUUUUGGCAUCAGCUCAACUUUUGGCAUGUUUCCUAAUGAAUAUAAGCAUUGCAAGCAACACCUUCCCCUCCUUUCCUGCUUCUGGGUCUUGGAUGUAUUAUGAACAAAGUUUCUUAAUACUUUUCAUUGAA